UACGUAGGUGGCAAGCGUUGUCCGGAUUUACUGGGCGUAAAGAGCGCGCAGGCGGUCGAUUAAGUCGAGUGUGAAAGCCCCCGGCUCAACUGGGGAGGGUCACUUGAUACUGGUCGACUCGAAGGCAGGAGAGGGAAGUGGAAUUCCCGGUGUAGUGGUGAAAUGCGUAGAUAUCAGGAGGAACACCGGUGGUGUAGACGGCUUUCUGGACCGUAACCGACGCUGAGACACGAAAGCGUGGGUAGCAAACAGG
rnacentral:rRNA from 1 species